UAAGUUUUUGGUACUUGGUCAAUGGAAGGAAACACACAUAAAAAAAUCGACGAGAGAUUCAGGUGAAAAGAGAUACAAUCAGAGCUCUAGAAAAUUCGUACCCAACCCUGGUUACAUCUUGAGUGAUUGGAAGUGGUGGGUUUAAUGUUCUAAGCUACUGAAUUUCAUGGAGAUUUGGAAGUAAUUGACGCAGGGUUUUUUUGUUCUUGGUUUAUGAUGGAAGGUGUCUUCGGAUUCGAUAAGCGGGCCACGAGGGUUAAGGUUUGAAUUGUGAGUUGGGGUGGGAACAUGCAAAACUCUUUUAUAACCGUUAAUGUCUCUUUUCAAACUAUAUUUAUGCAUCUAAACAAACUCAUGCAUUGCUGGUUUUUAAUUCUCUAAAACCCUGUUGAUUCCUUUGGCCUUUCUUUCACUUAGAAAGGACCUAAAAUAUUGCUUUCCUGUAUGAAUGUUAUGGGAAACAAGAGUUUCCAUUUGUGGUAUAUAGGAACUCUUCUCCUCCAUUUAUAACUAUUUUCUUUCGAUCUUUUAUGCUAUGGAUAGGGCGAUACACCACAAUAUUACUAUCUUGGUGCUGAAAUUUGGCAUUAAAUAUUAUACGGUGUUUGAGGGAGGAGUAAAUUCCAUAUACGUGAUUGUUAUGUGUGUGUGUGUUGAUCUUCUUUAAACAUUUGGUGUACUUGAUUGUUUAUUUCAGUGGGUCAAAUGUUUAUCAA